GUUGGAAGUAAGGUUCUUCUUGAACUCAUAAACUGGUGUCCCAACUUCUCUCUCAAAAACGCACACACUCAAAGCAACCACAGCAGGUGAUGAAAGGGAUUGAAUAAUUGAACUAAGUUUCAAAUUACGCACAACAAAAAUAGAAAGUCCUGGAGAAACUCAGCAGGUUGCAAAAGAUUCUACGAAAGGGUGCUGGGAAUCUAAUUGAGCGCAGGAAAUGCUGGCAACAUUCAGGUCUGGCAACAUUUCUGAUGAGACAAACAAGUUAACCUUUCAGAUCUGUAACAUUUCAUCAGAACCAUCAUAAGUGCAAGUCCUUAACAGAUAAAGAGCCGUGAUUUUGACGCCGUUUGGAGUACAGCAAUAUUGAAUAUAGAAUCAAAGAAAAGAAGAAGGACACAUUUCCAAUAAGCUACAGAAGAUUUGAAUUGUGCACCUAGAGGGAGUCAAUGGCCUAGUGGUAUUAAUCCAGAGAUUCAGACAACGUUACGAGGACCCAGGCUGCCACAGCAGAUGGUGGAAUUUGAAUUCAAUAAAUAUCUGGAAUUAAGAAUCUAACGAUGACCACAAAUCCAUUGCCAAUU